AGUAAAUCGGACAGGCAUACUA
rnacentral:miRNA from 1 species